rnacentral:rRNA from 1 species
AUUGAACGCUGGCGGCAUGCUUUACACAUGCAAGUCGAACGGCAGCACGGACUUCGGUCUGGUGGCGAGUGGCGAACGGGUGAGUAAUACAUCGGAACGUGCCCAGUUGUGGGGGAUAACUACUCGAAAGAGUAGCUAAUACCGCAUGAGAACUGAGGUUGAAAGCAGGGGAUCGUAAGACCUUGCGCAACUGGAGCGGCCGAAGGCAGAUUAGGUAGUUGGUGGGAUAAAAGCUUACCAAGCCGACGAUCUGUAGCUGGUCUGAGAGGACGACCAGCCACACUGGGACUGAGACACGGCCCAGACUCCUACGGGAGGAAGCAGUGGGGAAUUUUGGACAAUGGGCGAAAGCCUGAUCCAGCAAUGCCGCGUGCAGGAUGAAGGCCUUCGGGUUGUAAACUGCUUUUGUACGGAACGAAAAGCUUCGGGCUAAUACCCUGGAGUCAUGACGGUACCGUAAGAAUAAGCACCGGCUAACUACGUGCCAGCAGCCGCGGUAACAC